GACAGAGGGUGCAAACGUUGUUCGGAAUUACUGGGCGUAAAGCGCGUGUAGGCGGCCCUGCAAGUCGGAUGUGAAAUCCCACGGCUCAACCGUGGAAGUGCAUUCGAAACUGCAGGGCUAGAGUCCUGGAGAGGAAGGUGGAAUGCUUGGUGUAGAGGUGAAAUUCGUAGAUAUCAAGCGGAACACCGGUGGCGAAGGCGGCCUUCUGGACAGUGACGUGACGCUGAGACGCGAAAGCGUGGGGAG
rnacentral:rRNA from 1 species